GGACAUGGUGUUGCAAGAAUCUCGAAAACUUAUCAAUCGAAACCCAGUCUGAAAUUUAUUUGAAUGAUGCCUAUCCAUGUAGUAUGUUGUCCAGGAAGCACAAAUUUCUACAUAUAUUAAUAAAAGUGUGAGAUGGCCUGUUCUUGCUAUAGCAAUACUAGCUGUAGUGGUGGGAAGCCAAUCAAUCAUCAGCGGGACAUUCUCCAUCAAAUCCAUUUGUUCUUUGUAAUUAAUGAUACACAUUUGAGAUUGUUGUUUCUAGUUUCCUUGAUGUAAUCUGUUUUUGAGAGACUUUAUGUACUUGGGUAUGCAAGAGGAAGUUUGUAAAUUAAUGCUUUUAGUGCUCAAGGGGAAAUGGAAAAAUAGACUUUUAUGUUGAUGUGAA